GACGAACGCUGGCGGCGUGCUUAACACAUGCAAGUCGAACGGAAAGGCCCUGCUUUUGUGGGGUGCUCGAGUGGCGAACGGGUGAGUAACACGUGAGUAACCUGCCCUUGACUUUGGGAUAACUUCAGGAAACUGGGGCUAAUACCGGAUAGGAGCUCCUGCUGCAUGGUGGGGGUUGGAAAGUUUCGGCGGUUGGGGAUGGACUCGCGGCUUAUCAGCUUGUUGGUGGGGUAGUGGCUUACCAAGGCUUUGACGGGUAGCCGGCCUGAGAGGGUGACCGGCCACAUUGGGACUGAGAUACGGCCCAGACUCCUACGGGAGGCAGCAGUGGGGAAUAUUGCACAAUGGGCGGAAGCCUGAUGCAGCAACGCCGCGUGCGGGAUGAAGGCCUUCGGGUUGUAAACCGCUUUCGCCUGUGACGAAGUGUGAGUGACGGUAAUGGGUAAAGAAGCACCGGCUAACUACGUG
rnacentral:rRNA from 1 species